rnacentral:rRNA from 1 species
CAGACUUGGAACGGUCGGCCAUAGAGGGUGACAGCCCCUUUCGCAAAGUGACGACGAGCGUAGCAGGUACCUGAGUACCGCAGGACACGUGUAAUCCAGCGGGAAUCCGGCGGGACCAUCCGCCAAGCCUAAGUACUCCUCAUCGACCGAUAGUGAACAAGUACCGUGAGGGAAAGGUGAAAAGCACCCCGGAAGGGGAGUGAAAUAGAACCUGAAACCGUGUUUGCCUACAAGCACUGAGAGCACUAUGCCGCAAGGCAGUGUGAUCGGGUACCUUUUGCAUAAUGGGCCUGCGAGUUGCGUUUUGUGGCGAGGUUAAGCCGACGAGGUGGAGCCGUAGCGAAAGCGAGUCCGAACAGGGCGACAGUCGCAGGACGCAGACCCGAAGCCCGGCGAUCUAUCCAUGUCCAGGAUGAAACGCGGGUAAUACCGCGCGGAGGUCCGAACCCACCUUAGUUGAAAAUAAGGGGAUGAGGUGUGGAUAGGAGUG